GAGAAAGGCUAGACUUUCCCUUGAUGGCUUUGAAGGCGGCCAUGAGCCAAGGAAUAUAGGCAGCCUUUAGAAGUUGAGAAAGACUUUGACUGACAAGCAAAAAGGAGAUGGAGGCCUGAGUCUUAUAAUCACAUGGAACUGAAUUUGGCCAACAACUGAAAUGAGUUUGGAUGUGGAUUCUUCCUAGAGACUCUUGAUAAAAGCCCUGCAGCCUGACACUUUGCUUUCAGCCUUCUGAGAAUUGGAGCAAAAGAAGCAACAAAGACCGCUGGACUUCUGACCUACAGAACUAAAAGAGGAAAAUAUUUGUGAGAAAUGAAAGAAGUAUUAUUGGAUUCACAGACCCUUCACAAUACC
rnacentral:lncRNA from 1 species